GUUUUCCUUCUGGUAUUCAUUAUCUGCUUGUGUUUAUGGAAAACUCAACAAAAUGAGGUCACAAACGGUGAUGUCUCUUUAAACGAGUUCUCUGAAAAGAAGAGAAUACGAGAAAAUCAUAAAAGUUACAAAGAGAGGGUCAACUCAGUUUACUAUGAGUGGAUGACUGAUCACUCACCACAGAGGAAACCC